CCUACGGGGGGCAGCAGUGGGGAAUAUUGCACAAUGGGGGAAACCCUGAUGCAGCGACGCCGCGUGAGUGAAGAAGUAAUUCGGUAUGUAAAGCUCUAUCAGCAGGGAAGAAAAUGACGGUACCUGAUUAAGAAGCCCCGGCUAACUACGUGCCAGCAGCCGCGGUAAUACGUAGGGGGCAAGCGUUAUCCGGAUUUACUGGGUGUAAAGGGGGUGCAGCCGGGAGUACAAGUCAGAUGUGAAAUGCCGCGGCUUAACCGCGGAACUGCAUUUGAAACUGUUUUUCUUGAGUACAGGAGAGGUAAGCGGAAUUCCUGGUGUAGCGGUGAAAUGCGUAGAUAUUAGGAAGAACACCAGUGGCGAAGGCGGAUGACUGGACUGCAACUGACGGUGAGGCGCGAAAGCGUGGGGAGCAAACAGGAUUAGAUACCCGAGUAGUC
rnacentral:rRNA from 1 species